rnacentral:rRNA from 1 species
AACGCUGGCGGCAUGCCUUACACAUGCAAGUCGAACGGCAGCACGGAGCUUGCUCUGGUGGCGAGUGGCGAACGGGUGAGUAAUAUAUCGGAACGUACCCUAGAGUGGGGGAUAACGUAGCGAAAGUUACGCUAAUACCGCAUACGAUCUAAGGAUGAAAGUGGGGGAUCGCAAGACCUCAUGCUCGUGGAGCGGCCGAUAUCUGAUUAGCUAGUUGGUAGGGUAAAAGCCUACCAAGGCAUCGAUCAGUAGCUGGUCUGAGAGGACGACCAGCCACACUGGAACUGAGACACGGUCCAGACUCCUACGGGAGGCAGCAGUGGGGAAUUUUGGACAAUGGGCGAAAGCCUGAUCCAGCAAUGCCGCGUGAGUGAAGAAGGCCUUCGGGUUGUAAAGCUCUUUUGUCAGGGAAGAAACGGUGAGAGCUAAUAUCUCUUGCUAAUGACGGUACCUGAAGAAUAAGCACCGGCUAACUACGUGCCAGCAGCCGCGGUAAUACGUAGGGUGCAAGCGUUAAUCGGAAUUACUGGGCGUAAAGCGUGCGCAGGCGGUUUUGUAAGUCUGAUGUGAAAUCCCCGGGCUCAACCUGGGAAUUGCAUUGGAGACUGCAAGGCUAGAAUCUGGCAGAGGGGGGUAGAAUUCCACGUGUAGCAGUGAAAUGCGUAGAUAUGUGGAGGAACACCGAUGGCGAAGGCAGCCCCC